rnacentral:lncRNA from 1 species
AGAGAACGCGAAGGAAGAGACAGAAGAAGUCACUAUGGCAUAAGCAGAUCCUGAGCUCACGGACAUGAGGACUGGCCUGCUAGAGAAAGAGCGGCCCAGGCAGAGCAUGGCAAGAAUUGAGUACUGAUUGCAGUAGCUUUGGAGGAUGGAUGCUCUGUCUGACUUUCUUAUGAUGCUCCUGGAAGAUGAGACCCUCUAGGAAGAAGCCUCUGCUUCCCACUGCUGGAUUGUGAUGGAUCUCAUUCGUGCUUGUCUCACUCCUGGAACAAAACCUCUGACCGGAGCAACUUAAGGAAGGGAAUGUGAAAAGCUAUGCUGACAGGGGAGGUCUCAGUCUGUGGAGCUUACAUUCAGGGCGGGCCUUCCCACCUUAGUCUAACCACUCUACUCUCGGAAGAGUAUCUCCUACUGCAUCAGAAAGCCAACCAAAUGAUCCAUCCGGCAAUAUUAUGACAACAGAUUUAUCCAAAGGAUAUCAGUGUACCAGUCCACAUUCGCUGCCGCAGUAUCUAAACCAGCAAGACAUGUAACCAAUGGAUGAAAUGCAGAAAAAGAUGGCAUACACAUGAUUCCAUGUAUAUAUAGCACAUAUACAUAGCUACAAAGUAGCACUGUUCAGCCUUUAAAACAUAAAGAAAUCUCAUCUCUUCCGGC